UACGUAGGGGGCAAGCGUUAUCCGGAUUUACUGGGUGUAAGGGGGGCGCAGACGGCGAUGCAAGCCAGGAGUGAAAGCCCGGGGCCCAACCCCGGGACUGCUCUUGGAACUGCGUGGCUGGAGUGCAGGAGGGGCAGGCGGAAUUCCUGGUGUAGCGGUGAAAUGCGUAGAUAUCAGGAGGAACACCGGUGGCGAAGGCGGCCUGCUGGACUGCAACUGACGUUGAGCCCCGAAAGCGUGGGGAGCAAACAGG
rnacentral:rRNA from 1 species